GGUAGUAACACGUGGAUAACCUACCUAUAAGACUGGGAUAACUUCGGGAAACCGGAGCUAAUACCGGAUAAUAUAUUGAACCGCAUGGUUCAAUGUGAAAGACGGUUUUGCUGUCACUUAUAGAUGGAUCCGCGCCGCAUUAGCUAGUUGGUAAGGUAACGGCUUACCAAGGCAACGAUGCGUAGCCGACCUGAGAGGGUGAUCGGCCACACUGGAACUGAGACACGGUCCAGACUCCUACGGGAGGCAGCAGNG
rnacentral:rRNA from 1 species